rnacentral:rRNA from 1 species
AACGAACGCUGGCGGCAGGCUUAACACAUGCAAGUCGAACGCCCCGCAAGGGGAGUGGCAGACGGGUGAGUAACGCGUGGGAAUCUACCCAGUUCUACGGAACAACAGUUGGAAACGACUGCUAAUACCGUAUACGCCCUAAGGGGGAAAGAUUUAUCGGAAUUGGAUGAGCCCGCGUUGGAUUAGCUAGUUGGUGGGGUAAUGGCCUACCAAGGCGACGAUCCAUAGCUGGUCUGAGAGGAUGAUCAGCCACACUGGGACUGAGACACGGCCCAGACUCCUACGGGAGGCAGCAGUGGGGAAUAUUGGACAAUGGGCGCAAGCCUAAUCCAGCCAUGCUGCGUGAGUGAUGAAGGCCUUAGGGUUGUAAAGCUCUUUCAGUAGGGAAGAUAAUGACGGUACCUACAGAAGAAGCCCCGGGCUAACUUCGUGCCAGCAGCCGCGGUAAUACGAAGGGGGCUAGCGUUGUUCGGAUUACUGGGCGUAAAGCGCACGUAGGCGGUUUG